rnacentral:rRNA from 2 species
UCCGUAGGUGAACCUGCGGAAGGAUCAUUAUUGAAUU